rnacentral:rRNA from 1 species
GCAGUAGGGAAUCUUCGGCAAUGGACGGAAGUCUGACCGAGCAACGCCGCGUGAGUGAAGAAGGUUUUCGGAUCGUAAAGCUCUGUUGUAAGAGAAGAACGAGUGUGAGAGUGGAAAGUUCACACUGUGACGGUAUCUUACCAGAAAGGGACGGCUAACUACGUGCCAGCAGCCGCGGUAAUACGUAGGUCCCGAGCGUUGUCCGGAUUUAUUGGGCGUAAAGCGAGCGCAGGCGGUUAGAUAAGUCUGAAGUUAAAGGCUGUGGCUUAACCAUAGUACGCUUUGGAAACUGUUUAACUUGAGUGCAAGAGGGGAGAGUGGAAUUCCAUGUGUAGCGGUGAAAUGCGUAGAUAUAUGGAGGAACACCGGUGGCGAAAGCGGCUCUCUGGCUUGUAACUGACGCUGAGGCUCGAAAGCGUGGGGAGCAAACAGGAUUAGAUACCCUGGUAGUCCACGCCGUAAACGAUGUCGAUUAGCUGUUGGGCAGCUUGACUGCUUAGUAGCGAAGCUAACGCGUGAAAUCGACCGCCUGGGGAGUACGGUCGCAAGAUUA